rnacentral:rRNA from 1 species
UACGAAGGGGGCUAGCGUUGUUCGGAAUUACUGGGCGUAAAGCGCGCGCAGGCGGUCUUCCAAGUCAGUGGUGAAAGCCCGGAGCUCAACUCCGGAACUGCCAUUGAAACUGUUGGACUUGAGUACGAGAGAGGUGAGUGGAAUUCCCAGUGUAGAGGUGAAAUUCGUAGAUAUUGGGAAGAACACCGGUGGCGAAGGCGGCUCACUGGCUCGUAACCGACGCUCAGGCGCGACAGCGUGGGGAUCAAACAGG